AACGAACGCUGGCGGCAGGCUUAACACAUGCAAGUCGAGCGCCCCGCAAGGGGAGCGGCAGACGGGUGAGUAACGCGUGGGAACGUACCCUUUGCUACGGAAUAGCUCCGGGAAACUGGAAUUAAUACCGUAUGUGCCCUACGGGGGAAAGAUUUAUCGGCAAAGGAUCGGCCCGCGUUGGAUUAGCUAGUUGGUGGGGUAAUGGCCUACCAAGGCGACGAUCCAUAGCUGGUCUGAGAGGAUGAUCAGCCACAUUGGGACUGAGACACGGCCCAAACUCCUACGGGAGGCAGCAGUGGGGAAUAUUGGACAAUGGGCGCAGGCCUGAUCCAGCCAUGCCGCGUGAGUGAUGAAGGCCUUAGGGUCGUAAAGCUCUUUCACCGGAGAAGAUAAUGACGGUAUCCGGAGAAGAAGCCCCGGCUAACUUCGUGCCAGCAGCCGCCGUAAAAC
rnacentral:rRNA from 1 species